AUACUUAUCUGGUAGGGGAGAUACCAUGAUCACGAAGGUGGUUUUCCUAGGGGUGAGGCCCUAUCCAUCACAUUCAGGAUGUGCUGACCCCUGCAAUUUCUCCAAAUGUGGGAAACUCGACCGCAUAAUUUGUGGUAUUGGGGGACUGCUUUUGUGCUCUACCCUG